GCUAACAUUGGUCCGACGGCAACGUCGUGUCCCUGGCCAAAAAUAGUCGCGGUAGGACGGCAUAAAUCCGUACAAAUAUGUAACACAGAAUACUUCCUAAAAAUGCAUUCAGAUACGUUUGUACAUAUCUACAGUUCUCUGGGGUUGCAUGUAUAAUUGUUACUUUUAAGUUUUAGCUUCGUGUAGUUCAGUAUAUACACUGUUAACCAGUUGUGAGAGGACGUCCACAAGGUGACGUCCUUUACACGUGCAUUUAUAGUCCAUCAUGACCCUAUGAAAUCAGUAUGAAAUAUGCUAAAGCAAUUGUGCUUACACCUUGAUUAUUACUGUAAUAAUUUAUUUAAGUGCCCCAAGUAGUUUUAAGAGGCUCCUCCAGUCAAGCAUUACAUUAAAAAUAAAUAAAUAAGUAAAUAAAUAAAUAAAAACAGGAAAUUGUAAUGAAAUACAAGUCAUUUGUAUUUACAUCUUGUUUAAUGAAUAUUCACAAAGUGCUGUGUGGUUAAGUGAUUGCAAAGCCACUGAAUUUUAGUCAUAAUUCUGCCCGUUUUCCGUAAAUUGCAAUACGAUUUUAUUAUUUUAAGUUUAUGCAUAUACAUAUAAAACAAAUAUCUUCAGUCACCAUUUGAAGUCUGAGUUGGGUGUAGAUUGCCAAAACUGUGCUGCCAAGAUGUUGUAACAAAUCUCGCGAUAGGAUAGAUCAUCUCGCGAUAGGAUAGAUUAUCUCGCGAUGGGAUAGAUUAGCUCGCAAUACAAUACAUUAUCUCGCGAGAAAACUUUAACACGUUUUUAUCUUUCCAUAACCAGGAGGAGAGCGCGUCGUUGUGUUACAAAGCUUUACGCGUUGAUUUAUUACAAAAUCACUGGUGGUGGAUGCACAACAUGACACCAUCAGCGUCAACAACAUUCGUGGACCCGUGGACACAUGUUGAGGUGGUCACAUAACGAACAUCUGUCAGGCCAUGUGCCACAACCAAACAAGUAUUGUCUCCAGUCCCAAAUGCUUCAUUGCCAUCCCAGUCCCAGAGGACCCCCCAGUCUGUCCCUGCCCUUCCAGCUUCUGACUGACAACACACCUGAUCCAUUACUAAUCAGCAGUGAGUAAGGCAUGGAUAGUUGGUAAACAAGCAGAGUCAUGUCAAAUGCUUAAUGGCCAAAUUAAUUUAUGAGGGGUGGUGGCCAACUUUCAAAGCAUUUCAAGGCUACAGCUUUGUACUAUGUAAUUUAAGAUGCUCUGAAGAGGUGGAGUCCAACUGCCACAGACUCCGAAAUUGAUGCAUUAAUGGCGGAACACCUAAAACACGCUCCAGGAAGAGCUGGGGGCGGUGGUUAUAAGAAAUAAGCUGUUUUGAGAGACAUUUACAUGUGUGUUUACAUUAAUCCAGUAUUUUUGUUUUGUACUUGUUUGAUUUAUAGCUGUUUAAAAUUUAAUGCAAAACCGUUUCAAUUAAAAAAAUUGAGUACUGCCACAAUAAUAAUGCUUCUGGAAGAGCAAGUGCUUGUGGAGCAACAAAAUGAUAGUAAACAUUUUGGAAUAAUGAUAAAUAAAUAAAAGAUUAUAAAUAUA